rnacentral:rRNA from 1 species
UACCAGCACCCCGAGUGGUCGGGACGUUUAUUGGGCCUAAAGCAUCCGUAGCCGGUUCUACAAGUCUUCCGUUAAAUCCACCUGCUUGACAGAUGGGCUGCGGAAGAUACUAUAGAGCUAGGAGGCGGGAGAGGCAAGCGGUACUCGAUGGGUAGGGGUAAAAUCCGUUGAUCCAUUGAAGACCACCAGUGGCGAAGGCGGCUUGCCAGAACGCGCUCGACGGUGAGGGAUGAAAGCUGGGGGAGCAAACCGG